UCGUAAAUAUGAAAAUGUUUCUAAUUUUUUUUUCCUUUGUAAGCAUAAAUGGUCGUCAUCAUCUUUUGUCUGUCGUUCUCUUUCUCUAUCUCUUAGAGGAAACCAGAUAAUGAAGAUUUGAAUAAAACAUCCCUUCCUCUCGUGUUGCUUUCUUCUAAUUUGUAAUUUUUCUCUAUAUUUCCUCACUUGGCUAGAAUUCAAUUGAAUUGAAUUGGAACAUGAGCUAAAAGAUGGAAUCGGAUCUGGGGAAGUUCUUCGUUGGUGGAAUUUCGUGGGCUACAGAUGAAGAAAGCUUAAGCGACUAUUUUAGCAACUAAUGUGAUGUUGAGCAGUUGUGAUCAUGACAGAUCGUGCCACUGGACAUAGUCGUGGUUUUGGUUUUAUUGGGAGAUCGUGCCACUGGACGUGCUUGUGUUGCUGAGAGAGUCAUCACGGUCGAGAAAGACAUCAACAAUGGUUAAAAAUUUCGAUUUUUUCCCCUUUGAUUACUGAAUCUGUGAUUUGUUGUUUGAUCAUACAGUACGAAUCAGCAAUUAACGAAGAUAGGUUGUUAUUUGUAGAUUUAUUGAAGACAACGGGAGAUUGUACAUAUAGAUUUUAUACUAUGUCACGGAAGUGAAGCUUUAAAUUGGAAAUCAAAUAGAUAUGUAAGAGAAUACAAACUUGAUGUCAUAGCUUGUAGAUUAUCUUUAUGAUAGAGUCUACACCAUAGUUCUCCUACAUAUAGGGCAAUUAUGGUUCACAUACAACCAUGGAAUUAUACACUCAUGGUGAUAGAUGUGUUUGCAAUUGUGAUUGUUGAUAUCAUUGCGUCCUUUGAAUGUUUGUAGACAGAUGGUGCACUCUUCAUUUUCUUCUUCUGCGGUUGGUUGUCUUUUGGAAGUCUCUAACUCACCAAUGAGGACGUCCGUGUCUAAUCUGGAAUUGGCAUGGAGGUUGUAAUCUGUAAUUGUCAAAGUUAAAAGAAUUGACCUACCUGUUGGAGGUUCUGUCAUUCGCACUGCAUCAAAGAAUUGGAUGAACCUUGAAGUCAUUCUUGUUGCGUCGUUUUCUUCAAUCUCAUGAUACGAUAGAAGAUAGAGAAGGUUUCUGCUCAAGGUUUGCAAGGUAGGUCCUCCACCAUUAGGGGUGUAAGGGAUGCGUAUGCUUAUGUCGUUUUGAUUCAUGUUUGGUCUUCUGAUAAUGAUGGCGAUUUCAUUGGAUGUUUGAAUGUUAGUACUGAAAGUUUGGAAUGAAAAAGUAGAUAUGAUAUUUGUGGUAUCUGCCACGGUUUUUUUGGUAGCUAUUUGGUGUUUUUGGGGUUGCUCUUUGCAUCAGAGAGUCUGUUUAUAUAUACUUGAGUGGAGUCGCUUGGAGUUCUAUGGUCGGUAUGGUUUUUUUUUUUCUUCUUAUCUUGUUUCUUCGUUGCAUUACAAUGUUUGUUUAUCUAUAUGUGGCCAUAGUCGUUUGGAGUCUUCAGUUUUGUGUAGGUUACUGUUGGUUUUUGGAAUUCCUUCUUCAUUAUUUGCUGUGAGUUUUAUAUUCUCAUUGAAUUUUGUUGAUGCGUUUUCUUUUUGUAGUUUAAUAGUCCUUCUUAGCUACUGAAUUUAAGAUCCUAUACUGGGGGAACUGGGGAAACCCAUCCGACUAAAGGAAAGCUUUUUUGGAGAAGAUAAGGUUUCUUAUGUUCGUUUGUUUAUGUUUUAUGGCCGGUUUUUUGUCUUUAGUUUUGGUCAAUUAUGUUUUUUAGAUUUUAUUAUGGGGCUUUUAUUUGUAAUGCUGGAGGCCCAUUGUGUUGGAGGGUAGAACUACUGGAUUUAAGAUAAUUGUUUGUAGUUUUGGUUAAUUAUGUUUUUUAGAAUUUUUUACGGGCCUUUAAUUUGUAAGGCUGGCGGCCCAUUGUUUUGGGGUAAGAUCUAUUUUGAGGUUUACUGUAUGAUGAGCCAAAUUAAUUAACCUUAGAGUAAAGCAAUACCACAUAUAAUUUGAAACGUGAAUUUCAUUUUUCAAGUGAGAAGCAAAUUACUAAAACAAAAUGGAGCCACGUCGAAGUAUAUCUUGGUACCUAACAAAAAUGAGACGAAGUGUUCACUUUAGCCAGGCAAAUAGUGCAGGCUUCACUUUCUUCAGAUUUUGUUGGUUGUCUUUUGGAGUUCUCCAGAUCCGCAAUGAGUACAUCGGUGUCGAUUCUGGUAUUUGCAUGGAAGGUGUAAUCUGUGACUGUAAAAUAUAUAACAAUAAACCUACCUCUUUGAUGUUCGGUUCUUUGAACUGCAGUAAGUAAUUGGAGGAACCUUGUUGCCAUGCUUGCUGCCACGUUCUCAUCAAUUUCAUGAUAUGUUAGAAGAUAGUGGAGGUUGCUUCUCAAGGUUGGUGGUGUAGGGUUGCUGCCGUUUCGACUGUAAGGGAUGUGGAUGAUGAUGUGGUUUGGAUCGGUGUUUGGCCUUAUGAUGGUGAAAAUGAUUUCAUUGGAUCUUUGCGUAGUAGAGCUGAUAGUUUCAUAUUGAAAAGUACAUUGGAGAUUUUGUGCAUCUCCCAUGUUUUGGGUUUUGAUUUUUGUUUUUCUUAUUAUAUUUGUUCGUUGCAUUACAGUGUUUGUUUAUAUAUAUGUGGCCAUAGUCGUUUGGAGUCUUCA